rnacentral:rRNA from 1 species
UAGGGAAUCUUGGACAAUGGGCGAAAGCCUGAUCCAGCCAUGCCGCGUGAGUGAUGAAGGCCUUAGGGUUGUAAAGCCCUUUCGCCAGGAAGAUAAUGACGGUACCUGGAUAAGAAGCCCCGGCAAACUUCGUGCCAGCAGCCGCGGUAAUACGAAGGGGGCUAGCGUUGUUCGGAAUUACUGGGCGUAAAGCGCACGUAGGCGGCUUUCCAAGUUGGAGGUGAAAUCCCCGGGCUUAACUCGGGAACUGCCUCCAAAACUGGACGGCUCGAGUCCGAGAGAGGUGAGUGGAAUUUCCAGUGUAGAGGUGAAAUUCGUAGAUAUUGGAAAGAACACCAGUGGCGAAGGCGGCUCACUGGCUCGGUACUGACGCUGAGGUGCGACAGCGUGGGGAGCAAACAGGAUUAGAUACCCUGGUAGUCCACGCCGUAAACGAUGGGUGCUAGUUGUCAGGCAGCUUGCUGUUUGGUGACGCAGCUAACGCAUUAAGCACCCCGCCUGGGGAGUACGGUCGCAAGAUUAAAGCUUAAAUGAAUUGACGGGGUCAUAGC